rnacentral:rRNA from 1 species
AGUUUGACCUCAAAUCAGGUAGGAUUACCCGCUGAACUUAAGCAUAUCAAUAAGCGGAGGAAAAGAAACCAACAGGGAUUGCCUUAGUAACGGCGAGUGAAGCGGCAAAAGCUCAAAUUUGAAAUCUAGCACCUUCGGUGUUCGAGUUGUAAUUUGAAGAAGGUAACCUUGGGAUUGGCUCUUGUCUAUGUUUCUUGGAACAGAACGUCACAGAGGGUGAGAAUCCCGUGCGAUGAGAUGACCAAUUCUAUGUAAGGUGCUUUCGAAGAGUCGAGUUGUUUGGGAAUGCAGCUCUAAGUGGGUGGUAAAUUCCAUCUAAAGCUAAAUAUUGGCGAGAGACCGAUAGCGAACAAGUACAGUGAUGGAAAGAUGAAAAGAACUUUGAAAAGAGAGUGAAAAAGUACGUGAAAUUGUUGAAAGGGAAGGAUAUGAGAUCAGACUUGGUGUUUUGCAACCUUAUCUUCGGAUGGGGCCCCUGCAGUUCAUCGGGCCAGCAUCAGUUUGGAUGGUAGGAUAAUGACAUUGGAAUGUGACUUGGCUUCGGUUAAGUGUUAUAGCCCUUGUUGAUACUGCCUGUCUAGACUGAGGACUGCGUCUUUGACUAGGAUGCUGGCAUAAUGAUCCUAUAUCGCCCG